AGAAUCAACGCUGGCGGCGUGCCUAACACAUGCAAGUCGCACGAGAAAGGGGAGCAAUCCCUGAGUAAAGUGGCGCACGGGUGAGUAACACGUGAAUGAUCUACCUCCGAGUGGGGAAUAACUGAGAGAAAUCUUAGCUAAUACCGCAUAACACUUACGAGUCAAAGCAGCAAUGCGCUUGGAGAGGAGUUCGCGGCCGAUUAGUUAGUUGGCGGGGUAAUGGCCCACCAAGACGAUGAUCGGUAUCCGGCCUGAGAGGGCGCACGGACACACUGGAACUGAAACACGGUCCAGACUCCUACGGGAGGCAGCAGUGGGGAAUUUUGCGCAAUGGGGGAAACCCUGACGCAGCAACGCCGCGUGGAGGAUGAAAUAUCUUGGUAUGUAAACUCCUUUCGAUGGGGAAGAUUAUGACGGUACCCAUAGAAGAAGCCCCGGCUAACUUCGUGCCAGCAGCCGC
rnacentral:rRNA from 1 species